GGUGUUGCAACAGGAAUGAUUUUGUCUCUGCGUGAGAGUCUUCAUUACUAUCUAAGGAUGAUCUUGCAAAGUGCCAAAUGGAAUAUGAUGCUGCAAAAUCUGAGGUUCAGAAGUGGCAUUCUGCAUUUCAGUUGGAGAAAGCAAAGAAAAAGGAAGCUGCAUUCAUAGUUACAUUUGCAAA